CCUACGCGUGGCAGCAGUGAGGAAUAUUGGUCAAUGGACGGAAGUCUGAACCAGCCAUGCCGCGUGCAGGAAGACGGCUCUAUGAGUUGUAAGCUGCUUUUGUACAAGGGUAAACCUGAAUACGUGUAUUCAGCUGAAAGUACUGUACGAAUAAGGAUCGGCUAACUCCGAGCCAGCAGCCGCGGUCAUACGGAGGAUCCAAGCGUUAUCCGGAUUUAUUUGGUUUAAAGGGUGCGUAGGCGGAUUGAUAAGUUAGAGGGUAAAUGUCCGAGCUUAACUCGGGAACUGCCUCUAAUACUGUUGAUCUAGAGAGUAGAUGCGGUAGGCGGAAUGUAUGGUGUAGCGGUGAAAUGCUUAGAGAUCAUACAGAACACCGAUGGCGAAGGCAGCUUACCAAUCUAUAUCUGACGUUGAGGCACGAAAGCGUGGGGAGCAAACAGGAUUAGAUACCCCAGUAGUC
rnacentral:rRNA from 1 species